UGGUCUUGUCAGUGUUGACCUCUUUAGUUUUAUGGAGCGGUCACGUACAAACAUGCUAGAUUAACACAAAACAUUUGGGAGUUAACAGGGCCACCGGUCUCUCAAGGUCAGGCUGAGUUGGUAGUAUAAUACUCCCACACGC